rnacentral:lncRNA from 1 species
GAAACCCUCUCCUUUCUCCCGCUCCAAGGCAGCCCUUUUCAAACCGGGAAGCUCCAGGUCAGUUUCCCUUUCCAAGUUUUAGGGCCUGCCAUGUUGUCCAUUCUGCUCAGCUAUUUAAAAAAUGUUGAAUAUCAACAAUGGCUUUCACUGGUGUAUUGUCAACUUUUGUAUGAAGCAAUCUUGGCUGAAUGAGAUGGGUCCCAGAGCAGGGAGGGCUUGGCUGCGGCAUGCACCGCAACACCACUGGCGCCUGCCUGGCUCUCUCUCUCUCUCUCUCAUUCUCUGUGCUGCAGGCAGGAUCAGGGAGGCAGGAGCAGCCGUCCCUCUAGUCCCUGUCUCAGCCCAGCCGCUGGGGUCUGCAUGGGGCUGGGAAAGCCACCCCCUCGUCAGUCCUCUCUGCGAACCCAUCCUCAUCCCAGGUUCCCCUCCCCCUGCCUCUGGCCCUGUCGUCUGGGAGCCCCUGAAGGUGUGACACCUCACACAGGAAUCGGAGAGCAGGAGCCCGGGGGCCAGUCAGAGCUGGGUAGCCGUGCCGACCCCAUUGGAGAUGUAUGUUUGAAGAUAAUUGUAGGAAAUCCUCCACCCAACCCAGAGAAACCCUCUCCUGGUCAUCAGCAACCCUGGAGUACCCUACUACCUGACAGGUGGGUUGUACAGGCCCACUCAGGCUCUGACAUGGGCUUUGGUGGACUUCUCCCAAACCAUAGCUAGGGUCAAGGCCAUCUAAAUUCCUGACAAUUCAGAAACGGAGUUACUCUCCUAUGAUGAAAUUAACUCUGAUGACACAAUGAUCCUAUCAUGGUGGUCUGGGGUCAGGGGGGCUCACGGUUUUUGAGUGGUGAGUGUGAGGCAGGACCAGCGGGGCUCACGGUUGUUGAGGGGUGUGUGUGAGGCAGGACCAGGGGGGCUCACGGUUGUUGAGUGGUGUGUGUGAGGCAGGACCAGCGGGGCUCACGGUUGUUGAGGGGUGUGUGUGAGGCAGGACCAGGGGGGCCCCUCUCUCCCCUCUGACCAUUCUGUUUCCUACCCUUCACCCCUCUCUUUCUCCUUUCUCCUCUUCCUUCAACCCUCUCCUCUCCAUUCUCUCCCAUGCACCUGCAGCACUUGUGUCCAGGCCGUAGAGCUGAAGGAUUGGGGUGUUCUGAGGGUUGAGGGGGACACCGUCAAACAGCAUGGGGA